UUGCGACCCCGAAAGAUGGUGAACUAUGCCUGAAUAGGGCGAAGCCAGGGGAAACCCUGGUGGAAGCCCGCAGCGAUUCUGACGUGCAAAUCGAUCGUCAAAUUUGGGUAUAGGGGCGAAAGACUAAUCGAACCGUCUAGUAGCUGGUUCCCUCCGAAGUUUCCCUCAGGAUAGCUGGAGCCCGGUGCAGUUUUAUCAGGUAAAGCGAAUGAUUAGAGGUCUCGGGGUCGAAACGACCUCGACCUAUUCUCAAACUUUAAAUGGGUAAGAGGUCCGGCUUGCUCGAUUGAAGUCGGACGCGGAAUGCCGGGGCUCCUAGUGGGCCAUUUUUGGUAAGCAGAACUGGCGAUGUGGGAUGAACCGAAAGCCGGGUUAAGGUGCCCGAAUCGACGCUCAGCAGAUACCAGG
rnacentral:rRNA from 1 species